rnacentral:lncRNA from 1 species
UGCGCAGGCUGUAUGCGCAGGCUGUAUGUUCAGGCUGUAUGUUCAAGCUGCUGGCAUGCAUGGCCAUCCCUUUCCUUCGUUCAUUUCCACGAAGUUUCCUCCAACUUCCCCUUUUUAUCCCCCCAUUCCCUUAUUAAGCGAAUCAUAACUAACGCCCGCUCAGUGAAUGGAACGUUGUGGUUUGACACCUUGCAAGGUAUUGUGGUAAUUGGGUUGGGAGAGGUUCUCCAUACUACUAAUGUUUCCGUACUUUCCGUAUUCUCCUUUCCUCUCUGUUUCGGGUCGGGCCCUACCUCCCUGUUUGUUGUUGCCUCGCUUCCGUCUGGUUGGUUGCCGGCUGCCUUUGGUUUUGCAUAGAUGCAUUAUCGGUCUGAUGAGCACGGGAAAGUAAAUGCUGGUUGUGUGGUGUCGUUUCUCUAGGUUUCAUUGCUCGUUGUGAUCCUAUUUGAAACCUGUAUUUCGGGGCACCCUCAUCCAGUCACCCUAGCCGACUUCUCAGCGGACGCUCAGGUUCAGCACCCACCACCAGCAUCCACCGGAAUCUGCCGGAUCAACGGCGGCUCAACUCCAUUCCUGGUCAGGAUAUGUACGCAUGUACACAUCUACGCAUCUACGCAUGUACACAUGUACGACGCGUGAGGCUGCGGCAGGUGCCGAGAUCCCUGGGGCGGUGCGUGUGCUUGUUGCAACAAUUGGCAUGGCAUGUACUGUAGGAGAAGGUAUGGGGUAGUGUUUGGAGUGCUGCAUUCCAUGCAUGGGCAGGAAUGGCUACUGGUGACGGACAUGGGCGGUGACGAUAGUGCUUGUUGCCUACUGUACACACUAUUUGUAAAAUGGCAUGGAUCUCUCUGCUGAUUGUAAAAAAAUGAUUAUCGAAUAUUCCGGCCGGCUAAAGACAGACAUGAUCGUUUAAAGACGGCAAGCUAUAAACGAUU